UACGUAGGGUGCAAGCGUUGUCCGGAAUUAUUGGGCGUAAAGAGCUCGUAGGCGGUUUGUCGCGUCUGCUGUGAAAACUCGGGGCUUAACUCCGGGCCUGCAGUGGGUACGGGCAGACUAGAGUGCGGUAGGGGAGACUGGAAUUCCUGGUGUAGCGGUGAAAUGCGCAGAUAUCAGGAGGAACACCGAUGGCGAAGGCGAGUCCCUGGACAACUCCUGACACUGAGGCACGAAAGCUAGGGGAGCAAACAGG
rnacentral:rRNA from 1 species